rnacentral:lncRNA from 1 species
AUGCUUUAUUUCAUAACUAUUUAACCGUAACUCCGAAUUUAAUAAACUUUAUAUGUAAAUGGGGUGGGAAAAUGCCUAGUUUAACAUGGUCCACUUUAUUUUCCUGUUUAACAACUUUAAAAUAUGUUUUAGGUCAGAACAGUAGCAAAUUCAUAAAUUGCAUAUGAGGUUUUUCCGAAAAUGUUGUUUGUUGUUCCGGCCUCAUUUAAACUUGCCUAAAUAUUUAGUUUACUUCUGUUACACCCCUUGACAUGUUUAACAACAUUUAACAUUGUUGUGUACCUAAACGAGAGCGAACUAAAUAACUCGGAUGUGGUGUUUCGUCAAUAUGCAACUCGUUGCAUAUUGAGCUCCACUUAACUUGUAGUAUUGUGUGUUGCACUUUGCCAUGCUAUGCCUCAUUAAACCGGACAUGCAUCAUACUUGAUUGUGCAUCAUGCCAUAUUUAUGAUUGUGUGUUUACCAUGUUGUUUGCUUCUUUCCGGUGUUGCUUCUUAGUUCCGGUAACAUUGCGUUCGUGAGGAUUCGUUCGACUGCGUCCGUUUGUCUUCUUCAUGGACUCGUUCUUCUUCCUAGCGGGAUUUCAGGCAAGAUGACCGUCACCUUGGAUCUCACUACUAUCAUUGCUAUGCUAGUUGCCUUGUUCUAUCGCUAUGCUGCGCUACCUAUCACUUGUUUACCAUGCCUCCCAAAUUGCCAUGAACCUGUAACCUUUGACACCUUCCUAGCAAACCGUUGCUUGGCUAUGUUACCGCUUUGCUUAGCCCCUCUUAUAGCGUUGCUAGCUGCAGGUGAAGUUGAAGAUUUCUCAAUGGUGGACAGGGUUAUGUUGGGAUAUCACAAUAUCUUUUAUAUUAUUUAAUGCAUCUAUAUACUUGGUAAAGGGUGGAAGGCUCGGCCUUAUGCCUGGUGUUUUGUUCCACUCUUGCCGCCCUAGUUUCCGUCAUACCAGUGUUAUGUUCCCGGAUUUUGCGUUCCUAACGCGGUCGGGUGAUUUAUGGGACCCCCCUGACAGUUCGCUUUGAAUAAAACUUGUCCAGCAAGGCCCAACCUUGGUUUUACCAUUUGCCUCACCACCACCUAUACCCUUCCCUUGGGUCGGCCAACCCGAGGGUCAUCUUUAUUUUAGCCCCCCCCGGGCCAGUGCUUGUCUAAGUGCUGGUUCGAACCGAGUAGACUGCGGGGCCCCCUCGGGGCAACUCGAGGUCUGGUUUUACUCGUAGGAUGUCUCAUCCGGUGUUGCCCUGAGAACGAGAUAUGUGCAGCUCCUAUCGGGAUUGUCGGCGCAUUGGGCGGCUUUGCUGGUCUUGUUUUACCAUUGUCGAAAUGUCUUGUAAACCGGGAUUCCGAGACUGAUCGGUUCUUCCUGGGAGAAGGUCUAUUCCUUCGUUGAUCGCGAGAGCUUGUCAUGGGCUAAGUUGGGACACCCCUGCAGGGUAUAAACUUUCGAGAGCCGUGCCCGCGGUUAUGUGGCAGAUGGGAAUUUGUUAAUGUCUGGUUGUAGAUAACUUGACACCAGAUCCGAAUUAAAACGCAUCAACCGAGUGUGUAGCCGUGUUGGUCUCUUCUCGGCGGAGUCCGGGAAGUGAACACGGUUUCUGGGUUAUGUUUGACGUAAGUAGGUGUUCAGGAUCACCUCUUGAUCAUUGCUAGCUUCACGACCGUUCCUUUGUUUCUCUUCUCGCUCUCAUUUGCGUAUGUUAGCCACCAUAUCAUGCUUAGCCGCUGCUGCAACCUCACCAUUUUACCCAUUCCUUUCCCAUUAAGCUUUGCUAGUCUUGAUACCCAUGGUAAUGGGAUUGCUGAGUCCUCGUGGCUCACCAGAUACUUCUAAAACCAGUUUGCAGGUGCCGAUGAAACCGUGCAGGUGACGCAUCCGAGCUCAAGGAGGAGCUCGAUGAAGAACUUGCCCUUUGUGUUGUUUCGUUCUAGUGAUCAGUAGUGGAGCCCAGUUGGGGUCGAUCGGGGACCUUUGUCGCAUUUGGGGUUCUUCUUUUAUUUUGGUUCCGUAGUCGGACCUUGAUUGUAUCUGUAUGAUGUAAUGCUUUACUCAUGUAUUGUGUGAAGUGGCGAUUGUAAGCCAACUAUGUAUCUCUUUCCCUUAUGUAUUACAUGGGUUGCGUGAAGAUUACCUCACUUGCGACAUUGCUUUCAAUGCGGUUAUGCCUCUAAGUCGUGCUUCGACACGUGGGAGAUAUAGCCGCAUCGAGGGCGUGACAAGUUGGUAUCAGAGCCUUCCCCGACCUUAGGAGCCCCACUGCUUGAUCGUUUUUAGCGGCCGAGUUGUGUCUAGAAAAAUGUUUUGAGUCAUUUAGGAUUAUAUAUAUCGGAGAGUUAGGAAUUCUUUUUACUCCCCAGUCUCUUCAUCGCUCUGGUAAGGCAUUCUGACGUAGAGUUUUGACUCUACUCUUCUCAAAUUUCACUAAAAAAAUUUUAGGAUCACGCAGGUAUCUUGGAAUCGUUCCGAUGGUUUUAUGAUAGAACAUUGUCUUGGUGCCUCUUGUCAGGGGUUUAGUGGAAGUGUCCCGGGGAGUUGAGCUCUGAGGUGUUGUCGUCAUAAUUUUAUCGUUGCAGUUCUGGAAUACCUGAGUUUAGUACGCCGACAUCGAAAAUCUCUUUUAUGCAGUUGUUGGUGAGAUAACCCCGAUAACCCAGUACUGAGGUGAGUACGGGAGUAUUGCCAUGACUCGUAUAACGGAUGCUUUUCGAAGGUUGAGGUAGACGAUUUCCGAAGGUUUCUUGGUUAUGUGUUGAAGGAUGGAUAUAGCUGGAUGUAGGAUUUGCUAGUUUUGGGUGAGAUAUUAUGCUUCCCCUGUAUCCCCAACACCUGAUUGCAUAACCGGAGAAUUUCGGGAGUUUCUUAGGUGGGAAUUCAAGUAGCUCUUAGGAUAUCUUUCCGACGGAUGUAUGAUAUGAAAUUGGGGUUCGACGUCUAGUGGUCCGCCUAUUCACGGUUGGUUUUACAGUGGUCUCGUUGUGUCUUAAAGAGUCCUUGGCCAUGCCGACUCGGGGACGCUUCGUAUGUCAUGUGCACUGCCUUGUACAUGAUGGUGCUGUACGAUCGAGCCCUGUAGGCCCCACCACGAAAACUUCGGACGAAAUCUCUAUCAUAUGUUUGUUCCGGCUUAUUCUGCAAGCCAGUCCUUUGUUUUUGUUUUGAGUUGUGGUAUUCGAGUUGCUUCAAUGUCAAGUGUUGAUUCCAUACCUUUCCGAAAUGGUGUUCUCAUACUCCGAUGUGAAUACCAAUCCUUCUCGACAAUCGAGAUUGUCAUGUCUAUCCUUUUCAACCGGCGUGUUUCUCUUCAAGUGGAUCCAAUCACUUCAAUAACAGCAAGACCAAUUAUCAUUUCUUCUCAACGGUGUUUGUUUCAUGCGUCUCCAAGUUGCCUUUGUUUUUUCCCGCCCACCCACCCUUUUUCCUCAAGGACUAAGAUUUCUUUACCAAGUAUCCUUUUAUUUUGUGAAGUUUCUCCAUUCUUUUCCAUCAAUGUUCUUACCCGGUGGUUCUCAAGAAGAUGCUCUACUAGUUCGUCAUUCCUCAUUCCUUUUUCUUCUCCGGUGGAUUCAAGUCAAGUUUUGUUGAUCAUACCUUUUUCCUCAUUUCAAUGUCUUCUCAUACCGGUGCACCUCAUUAUCAUUCUACUUCUCGCUAUUUGUUAUUCCGGAGUGCUCAAGAUAUCUCGAAGAUUCGUGUUUCCACUCUGCAUUCGUUCAAGCUCUUUCGAGAUUGGUAUCUCAUUCAAGUCAUUUAAUUCAACCGGUGCAACAUCUCUUUUAAAUCUUUUCAACGGUGUUCUUUUGAGUGGGCCCUAACCCACAGGUCUUUUCCCAGGAUCUUACCUGACUCUUCUAUUUUCCCAGAGCUAUCCUAAAAUCUUCUCCAAGUUUGACGUAAGAAUGAGUUAUCAUCAGUCAAAUGCUUUUCUCCAAGAUCUUUCAAAUUCUUUUCAUAGUUGGCUCAACCUCUUCGCUUUUGAUUCUUCCGGUGUGCCUCAAUAAUUCUUGGUGGUGUUUCUCGUUGUCAUUCUCAUCAUUUGAAGACCGAAGAAGGAUUUCUCUUAAAUCUUGGUCCAUUCUCUUGAAUAUUCAUGGUCCUAGCUUGAUGCCAUCCUCUCAUAAUUGCUUUCGAUUGAGACAACUCUUUUCUUACCAUCCGGAGCAUUUCAUGAGUUGUUUCCAUUUCUUUCCUCCGAAGGCCAUCAUGUCAUAAUUCUUCAUUCUCAGCGUGUAGCUAUCAUUCUCCAAAUCUUACCGAUGCAUCGUUCAAAUACCCUCUAAUCAGUUCAUGAUCUCUUCGUUCUCAUGUAUCUAAAUCCCCUCAAGUAUCUUCAUUCGUUUUCCAAUUCUUCCCGGUGAAUUGUGCCUUUGCUACUUUCAUUUUCAAUUCUUACGGUGGUUCGUUCAAGAUUUCACUUCCUUCGUUAUCAUAUCAAAUAUUCGUUGUCCCCAAAUCCCACUGGUGGUUCCAUCAAUACCUUCUGAAAUUUGCACUAUAUCUCUCUUAAUCCUUUCUACGAGAAUAAGUAAUAUGCAAAAUCCAUUGCUUGCCAUCAAUUUAAUUUGAUGAAGGAUAAGCAUACAAUAAAUCUUAUUCUUAUUUCCUCGAGGUGAUUGAAUUCUUUUCUUCCAGAGAUUGUUCAUGAUGAAGUAAUUCUCAGUUCGAGAGGCUUCAUCUUUCUUUUCGGAGUUCCAAGCUCUCUCAAUUAUCUCAUCGCGAAGCUCCAUCUAAAUCAUUGCAAGGAUUCACCUUGUGUUUUCAACUUCUCUUUCUUUUUAUCAUCUUUUUAUUCCCGGAGUUCUUCAUGGAGGCUCUACAUGAUAGUUCGUCAAGGAUUCCUUUCAUUCUUCUUUUGUUCAUCAAGAUUUCUCUCGAAGUUAAGAUCAGCCAAGGUAUACUCAAAAUUAAACAUGGUGCUCAACACAUGUUUUGUUUUGAGGAGUUCAAGUGUUCUUCUUCUUGCAUUUCGAAGUGCAAUUCUUUCUACCUUAUCUUUUGAGGUGAUGUUAUAUCAUUCUUGAUAAUUUCCAUUCAUGUUUCGUGAUUCACAUGUUAUCAAGAAUGAGAUAUUUUAAAUCCAUCAAUCUCUUCGUUGGAGUUAUCUUGGUAAAGAUUUCCCUAAAGGCCUUCCCGAAGGAAUGUUGCUAAUUAUGGUGCUAUCAAUGAUCCGAGUUUUUCUCCUAUCCUCUCGGUGAAGAAGUUUGUCAUCUUUUUGGUGCUCUCAAUCAAAUCAAUGGUUUCCAUUAGUGGCCGGUUGUCACCUCAUAGUUUUGAGAUGUUUGCCAUAAGCCCACAACAAGCUUGUGCUUUUCGUUGUUGAUUUUGCAACAACUCCGUUCAAUUCUUCUUCGCAAGGAUGCUUUCCAAGCUCAUUUGUGGCAGAAGUUGGCAUUUUCUUCUCCAUUCUGUUAUUCCAAUGAUCUAUCUUCUAUUCUUUCUUCCGGAGGCAUGGUGAUGUUGCUCUCUUCACUCAUCACCUCGUUUUGUGAGGAUCAUGUUCUUUUCAUGCUUAUCCAGUUAACCGCAGUGUUGUGUACUCAUUCAAGCUCUUUCAUCUUAUCAAGUUUUGCCUCCCUUCUCAACCGGAGUGCGGUCUGAAAUGUUUCUUACCCCUUGUGCCAUUCUUUCAAUUCCGGAUGCAGUGUGUUGUUGAUUUCAUCAAGUAUCCUCUCAUCUUGUCAAGUUCAUGUUCAAUUCCUUCCAUUUACAGUCGGAGUGCUGCCCAAAUUAUAUCAUUCUUACUCCUUCUCUAUCUAGUUUUAACCGGAGUGGUUUCAAUAUCUAUCUUAUCACUAAACCUCUUAGUUCUUGUUGUAUCCCAUGUUCCUCUUUUCUAACAGAGUGCUUUCAACUUUGUUCAUCUUCGUUGUUUUCUUUCUUUCAUUUUGUUCAACCUCUCAAGGUUCUUGGGUUUCACUCGUUUGUCAAAGAAGCAACUAUGUUUUACAUCUUCCUCUUCCGUUUCCCUCCGGUGCCAUCCUAGAUCUCGGGACGAGAUCCUCUCGUAGUGGUGGAGUGUUGUAACGCCCCGGAUACAACUUUCCAUAUUCAUAACUCCGACUCUUGCCUUUUCCGGAGAUGUGAUAUUUUUUUUUCCUCUGUGGUUGGGUUUUUGUCUGUUGUUUUGCAUUUUGUUCUUGUUAUGCAUCUCGUCUCAUGUCAUCAUUCGCAUUGCAUCGGCAUCGUUUUCUUAAAACUUGCAUUCAUUCAUCGUUGUCGUUUCUCCCUUUUGCCUUCAUCACCUUCCCUCGGAUCGCCUUGCCCGCGCUGACCGUUCCAGACCAACCGGGUUCUGCUUCCCUCUUGACCGUGACCACCUAACCUCUCUUGCCAACUCGCAGCCCCCUCGCGCGCGCAUUUGAAACCUAUCCCGAACCUGACCCGUUCUGUCAUUACCGUUGGAUUCGGAUCAUCCCCUAACAUCUUCAAAUCAUCUUCGUUUUCUUAUUUGGACUCUCCUAGUGUGUUUUUCUUGACCGUUCGAUCUUGAUCGGAGGGACCAAAUACCCCUACCCAAAAAUCCACUUGCUAUAUAUAUAGUCCACCCUAGUCCAUUUUGUCAAACCCUAGAAAUCCUCUCCUUUGUCCCCCCUAGCCGCCGCCACCUACAGCCUCCUCCCACCUCGGGAUCCAUCUCCACCCAAUCCAACCACCGCCUCCAUUUCCGUGCCCGACCAACCUCCUCUGGCCGCAGCCCCGACCAACUCCCUUCGCCCUCGGGAUCCUCCCGAUCCAAAUCGACCCGAGCUCGUGGAUGCCCGGCGCCCGAAGCCUCCCGCCUCCCUGAUCCUCGUCCUCCCGGGCAUCUNNNNNNNNNNNNNNNNNNNNNNNNNNNNNNNNNNNNNNNNNNNNNNNNNNNNNNNNNNNNNNNNNNNNNNNNNNNNNNNNNNNNNNNNNNNNNNNNNNNNNNNNNNNNNNNNNNNNNNNNNNNNNNNNNNNNNNNNNNNNNNNNNNNNNNNNNNNNNNNNNNNNNNNNNNNNNNNNNNNNNNNNNNNNNNNNNNNNNNNNNNNNNNNNNNNNNNNNNNNNNNNNNNNNNNNNNNNNNNNNNNNNNNNNNNNNNNNNNNNNNNNNNNNNNNNNNNNNNNNNNNNNNNNNNNNNNNNNNNNNNNNNNNNNNNNNNNNNNNNNNNNNNNNNNNNNNNNNNNNNNNNNNNNNNNNNNNNNNNNNNNNNNNNNNNNNNNNNNNNNNNNNNNNNNNNNNNNNNNNNNNACGCAGACCCCGCUGCUCUCCCGCGCCUCUGCCUUGACCUCCUCUCGCCAAGUCCGCCUUCCGCCGGCCACAGCCCAUCCACUCCCCAUCCACAUGGCCUCCCGUCCGCACCGUCCCACGCCGGACCUCGCUGGUGAGACCCCGCCGUCGUGCGUUCCCGUCUCUCUCUCUCUCUUGCCCUCUCUGACCUCCCCAGCUCUCCCCUUCCCUGUUGAACAGGAAAGAACAGCAUUGACCACAUCCAUGGCGCCCCUUGCCUCGUCCCGGUCCGAUGGAUCCGGCGGCCUCCUUCCCGCGUGGCACUGCGCCAGCCAAGCCGCCGGUGAGCUCCUCCGCCGCGCGCACCCCCUUCUCCUCUCCUUCUAUUUCUUUUCCUCCCUCUGUAUCUUCUCAGAAUGUGUUCCCUCGCCAUGUCCUUGCAGCACCAUAGCCGCCCGUCUAGUUCGUGUCCCGGCCCCGAUCUGGACCCGGAUCCCCUCUGCUCUGCCGCCUGGCUGCCAAAUCCGUCCCGUUCCGGCCGGUCCCCGCCGAGGCCGCCACGCCGGAGCCGCUGCAUCGCGCUGCUGCCCCUGCCUUACCUGUUGUUGCUGCUUCUGUCCUUCAGAACGAACAGAGCCAGCUCGCUCGAGCCGCUCGCCCCGUUGACCACGCCUCCAGGCCCAGCGCGCCCCUUCGCGGCCUGCCAGGCCUCUCCUCCAGCCGGGCCGAAGCCCAUGGUGAGGCCACCUCCAGCGCCCUCCCGUUUUUUUUUCGUUGUUGGGCCAGCCAGAUUCGGCCUAGUGUUUUUUUUCCUUGCCUGCGAUUUUGUCCAUUAUCCAGUGAAUUAACAGUUUUACAGAAAAACCCUCAUACUUCAUGCAUUUAAUAACACCACAACUGUGCAUCGGUUUAAAAUGAUUUAUAUAUGAAAAAUGCUUAGUUUUUCAUCUAGUUUCACAAUUUCCAACUUUCAUCCAUGUUAAAUAUGUUUAAACUUGCUGUUUGUUUAAUUUUGCAUAAAUGCCAUGUUAAAAUGCUUUAUUUCAUAACUAUUUAACCGUAACUCCGAAUUUAAUAAACUUUAUAUGUAAAUGGGGUGGAAAAAUGCCUAGUUUAACAUGGUCCACUUUAUUUUCCUGUUUAACAACUUUAAAAUAUGUUUUAGGUCAGAACAGUAGCAAAUUCAUAAAUUGCAUAUGAGGUUUUUCCGGAAAUGUUGUUUGUUGUUCCGGCCUCAUUUAAACUUGCCUAAAUAUUUAGUUUACUUUUGUUACACCCCUUGACAUGUUUAACAACAUUUAACAUUGUUGUGUACCUAAACGAGAGCGAACUAAAUAACUCGGAUGUGGUGUUUCGUCAAUAUGCAACUCGUUGCAUAUUGAGCUCCACUUAACUUGUAGU